rnacentral:lncRNA from 1 species
AAAAUUAUUUCCCUGGAGAAGGAUAAUCGCCUUGUUCACUGUUACUUGAAAUCUUCAUCAGAGAGUUCGCUACUUGCUGUUGUGGGGACUGAAAGGAGUACAAGGCACAUGGGUCCAGUGCUUCCAUCAAUGCCUGUAAAAAAUGGGGAGCAUGGUCAUCUGGCUCAUCAUGUUAGUGAGAAAGCAUUGUUCACCAUCCAACGAUUCAAGUAUGUAUUGCCGCCAUUAGAUUCUAAGGAAUUCAUUUUUCAAAUUUUGAUUUACUGUGUAACAUGUAGUGAAGAAUUCUGUGUUUCUAUUGUGUUUAAUUGAAGACUAGGAUGGGCGAGCACAUGUGCAAUCAUUAAUACUAGCACUUGGAUAAAAAAGGUUGAAGGGUUAAAUUUGUAUGAAGGUUGUGCAUCACUAGGUGAUGUAAGUCUUUAAACUUUUGUUAAUUAUAUCAUUUAGUUCACUUGUUGCAAUUGUAUCCUUUGUCACUGAGUGCAAAGCCAAUACUUCUUGGUCAGCUUCGAAGUUUUCAAUUAUGCAUGUUAUGUUGAAGAACGUACCACUGACCUUGUAGCCUAGGUGGACUUGAUGAGCUCUCGAACUAAAUGAGGGGGACUCAUGCCACCAACUUGUUACUAAAUUUUUUAAUAUGUAAUGUUCAUUGUAGUAACCCAAAAAAGGGGGAAAAGUGGAAAACCCCUGAGCUCUAGUGAGUGAUAAAUUUGAUUGCAGAUCUAGCUCUAGUGGACCCUGCCUAGAGUGCUUGCCUAGGACCCACUUAGGAAACCGCAUUGACGCUCAAAGCUCCUUCCGCUGUCUGUCUAGGUCCGUUUAGCACUUUUUAGAAUAUUGUAGAUGAGAUAUGGAUUAUGACAAGUUUGCAAAUUUUAGUUUCUUGCAGGGCUUGUUACAAGAAUCAUUGAAGCUAUUAUUUCCUAGGAAUAGUCUGAAAUGGAAAUAGGAGUUUUAAAAAACUUUAAGAGACUUAAAAUGUGAAUGAAUCCGCGUGAGAUCUAUUUAACUUGAUUUUGUUGUUACUUUUUGGAAGAGGGGUCAGCUCUCAUUACAUUUUCUUCUUCCUCCAUCUAUUUUCUUGCAGUUAAUAAGAGCAUUGAGGUCUAUCGAUUGUCACCCUAAAAAUCCACUUUAUUUAUGUUUUAGUUCUUAAUUCAUCAUUCAAGUAUACAUUAUGUUUCUUCCUUGUUAAUCUAACUAAAUUACUUAUUUUCUAUAUCUGCAUUCAUUAAAAUUUAAGGGAAGAUAUUUAUUUUUGUUUCAAUUCUUUUAAAGAAUUCGUUCAACUCAUAAUGUAUGUUUGUUUUUUAGUUCUUAGCUCUUGUAAUAUAUGCUAAACAAAGCCAAGUAAGACCUCAUUGUGAUUUUUUUUAAAGGUCAAGUUAGACCUCAAAAUGUCAGAAGACUGUUUGAUUGAAAAGAGAAAAAAAUGAAAAAAAUUCGUCUUAUGUGUCGGAAUUGUGACAACCCGGAAAAUCGGAUUGUCCAGAAUUUAAGUUUAAAGAAUUAUUAAUUAAUAAAAUAAAUUUUAUUAAUAAUAUUCUGUGUUAUGUGUUUAUUAAUCGUUCUAGGACCUAGGAUGAUUAUAAAACGUGAGGAUUCUGGCUACGAGCUAGAUUGAAAGAGUAAGAAUUUUCAAGACGAAAAUAAGUUUUCCGAAAAUAAAAAUAUUUCCGAGAAAAAGACAAAAUAUGCAUUAUUCACCCGACGAACCCUAAGGGUUAGAGUUUGAAUAACCUAAGCCUUUUCGAAAGAUUGGUAUGUUGAAAUGACAUUCCGUUGAAAGAUUUGACGAUAAUAAGUUGUGAAAAGUUAAAUUAGCCGAUAAAAGUUUUUUUCAUAAAACGUGCAAAAAUCGGACGAAAUAAAAACGAUGAAAAGUACUGUUAUGUACUUCUAUUCGUUUAACUACGUAUUGGGACAACGUGAAGGAAAACACUAUUCUUCAAAAAGUGUUUCAAUUUUUGGAAUUUUCGAAAAUUCGUAAAAGUUAAUCGGUAGAGGAAAGACGAAAUAUCCAAAAAUAUUUGAAUUCUGAUAAUCACAGUUUUUCGAACUGUCGGACGAAUACCGAAAGACGGGACAACGAAGCUUCCAGGAGAAGCUUCGUGAAUAGCAAGGAGGUGUGAAUAGUAAGACGGUUUGGCCAAAUGACCAAAAUGCCCCCACCUUGGUUUUCUAUAUAAAUAAGCCCUAAGCUCAUUUGUUUGGUUAGAAAAUUUCAACCAACACUUGAAAGAGAGAGAGGGAGAGAAAGAGAGAGGGAGAAGUUGGAUGGGGAAGAGGAAGAAAAGGAAAAGGAAAAGGAAAAGGAAAAGCUAGCCCAAGAGCAAGCUUUGUCUAACGGAAGAAUAUUAAAGAAGAAAGGUAAUCUAAAACCUAACUUUAAUCUAAAUUUUCUUUAAGUUUUUAUAUGGAAUCAUAUAGCUUAAUGAAAAUAGAAGUAAAAAAUAUUAAAAAUGAUUUUCAUAUGGUUGAAAUCAUAAGAAAAUCAAGAAAUAAGAAUUUGAAGUUUAGUUAUAAAAAUUUCUUAAAAGCUUUCAUAAGAAACUAUGAUUUGCUUGAUGAAUUUGGAUGAUCCGAAUGAAUCAUAUGAACGAUUCGGUGAAAUAAGUAAGGAGUGGUGUUUUGUAACACUAAAUUCCAAGAAAAAGUGAAAUCGUAAUCAAAAUAUCUAUUAAAAACGAAGAACGAACGAAGAAUACGAAGAACACGCGAAGAACGUUGUUGAUGAACAAAUUUAAAACCAUCGUAAUUAGAACUUGUUGUUGAUCGACAAGUUUAAAACCAUCGCGUAUAAGUUAGUUGCUUAUUGCUUGGUUAGGAUUUAGAGAAACAUUCAUGAAGGACGGAUUGAACUUAGCUAUAACGAAGUUAUGACAAAAUUUCAUAAAAGACGAACGAAAAGUAGAAAGUAAGGUAAUGAACCCUAAUUAAUAAGGUUUCAUAAUAAUGUUAAAACAUUGAAAACGUGAGUCGUGGACUCAAAAACGAACGAAUUCCAAGUUCGGAUGAUCGAAUUACGAACGAACGAGCGAAGAACGUUAAUAAUGUAAAACGAACGAAUAAUGAAAUUUAAGCCAAUUGAAUGACAUGUUAACGGAUUUAGAAUAAACUUCUGUCUCGAGGAAAUUGUGGAGGGUGUUGCAAGCUUUCCAACGCCUUAAGAACGGAUUAAUUCCGAAGAAGUUAUGAGAUUUCAAAGUAGGCGUCUCAAACAUGUUCAAAGACUUAAAAAAAUUUCUGAGUUUUAAGGGAGGCGCCGCAGCGUUGCCCAGCAAAGGGGAUGAGGCGCCGCAACGCCAGCCCGAGGAGCCAGGUACUGCCAACCCGCGCCGCAGCGCCGAGUUUUGUGCAGAGAGUGGCUCUGCAGCGCCCUUAAGAGAAUUUUCUCCGACUGGAGAUUUUUAUUAUCCAACUUUUUGGAUGGUAUUUAAGGGGCAAGCAUGAAUGCAAUGUUCAUGAAAAGAAAUAUCUACAAUGAUGAGUAAAACCUUAAGUUUAACGAUUAAACGUCGAAUAAAGGUUAUAAAACGACGAAGGCAAAAUACGUAACCGAUAUUCGGAGACCGUAUUCGCGUUAAAACGAACAUGUGGGAUUGCUAUGAUUGUAAUUCCUUGGACGUUGAGUGAAGAGGGUGACUUAUAACGUUUCGAUGUUAUAAUGUCGUAAUAAGAGUCAAGUUUUAAGCGUAUAAACGCUGUGAACGCAACGUAGUUGCGAUGAACGAUCGGUCUUAGCAUACAACGAAUGGUAUGGCUUAGUCAUCAUGAGAGGACAAUGAACGUGAUGUUCAUGUAAUGGAUCACGAAGGAGAGUGAUUAAAACCUUAAGUAAAAGUUGAAUGGAGGUUUAAACGACGAACAACGUGAAUGCAGAAUACGUAAACAAUCCUCGUGAAUCGUAUACGCGUCGGGCGAACGUUCUUAAGCAUACAUUGGUUGUAUGACUUAGACGUUGAUGAAUGUAGUAAGUAAGAUAUGAAAUUAUCAAGAAAGCCGUAACGAACGGUAAUAAUAUUAAUGAAAGUCCGAGUGUGAGUCGGAUAGAGAAUGUUAGAAUGAAAUGUAAGUGUUAAACACUUUAACCGACGUGAGAGUCUUGAGUGUACGUGAAUAUUAAACGGAUAUAACCUACGUACCGUGCAUGGUUUAAACGUAAGAGAAUGAAGAGUAAUGAAUAACGUAAAAAUUGAACAAGCCGAUUUAGCAAUAAUAACUGAAUAACGUUCUGAGUCAAAUGGACCAAAUGUUGAAAGAUAUGAAGAUAAGGUAAUGUAAAAUGCGUAACGCUAUGAACGCAUAGUAUUAACAUUUCUGAGUAUACAAAAGAUUAUAUGGCUUAGACGUUAAUAAAUAAUCCUGAAGUAUGGCAUUUAGUUGCCAGAAAGCCAUAAGGAAUGAGAAAUUAAUUUAAUGAACAUUAUAGUUUUAAUGGUUCGGUUAAGCUAAGUUUAAGUUGUGGUACAAUCGUAGUCUUUAAUGGUUGAUGUACGAUAUUUGGGCUAAACAAUUCCUUUAGAGAGCAAAGGUUAAUACGAACUAGCAACCGAUCUAACUCCCUGUGAAAGACAGUGUAGAUGAGACGGAAAACUAAUUUGUUGGUUGUUUGUGGGAAACCACUCAGCGUACUGUAUGGAACACUGUUAGAGACUCGAUGGGUGCUAAGUAUAGAGUUAUGAAUACGUACGAUAAAAAGGUGAUUCUUUUCAUGUAUGUAGAUGUAUAGGAUGAGUUAAGUCCUAAAAAUGUUAUAAGAAGAAGAUGAGAAUGUAAAUCUAUCGUAAAAGAUGAUUAUAAUGGGGAUAAAUUAACUUUUGGUAUCUGUACUGGGACACGACUUACAAUUUGGUACCCGAAGUGAAAAAAGUUAUAAAUUGGUGAUUGUACUCGAAAAAUAUUGAAAUCUGGUGCUUGUACUUUCCAAUUUUUAAAUAAUCGUUAAAAUUGAUUUAACGGGAGAGACAAACAUGCAGAGAGAGAAGUGAAGUCGACACGAAAAAGAUCCUUGAUAUUUUGUUCCAUCUUUCUUUGCUUCCCACAUUUGCACCAUUGCUCCACAGUGGCACCGACUUGGGAACUCUGGUGUAAUCCAUUCAUUUUUAUUGCAUGAACUACAAUCUUCUUCCCCAAUUUUAUUUACGAUUCCACUUCAAGACGAGCUCAUCCUUUCAAUUAAACACUGAAAACCCUUUAAUAAAUAUAUGGGAACCAGUAAUCAAUGGAAAAUCGAGACAAGAAGAAUGAGAGAAGAAGAAGGACAGAAGAAGAGAACCCUAAUUUUCAAACAAAAUAAAGAUGAAACCCUAUUGUUUAACGGAGUGUAACAUUUUUCGAGUACAAUCACCAGUUUGUAAUUUUUUUCGCUUCGGGUACCAAAUUGUAAGUCGUGUCCCUAAUAUUUAACGGAGUGUAACAUUUUUCGAGUACAAUCACCAAUUUGUAACUUUUUUCACUUCGGAUACCAAAUUGUAAGUCGUGUCCCAGUACAGGUACCAAAAAUUGAUUUAUCCCGAUUAUAAUGUUUAUGCCAUCUCCGUAUGCCAUAAUACCGAAGGAAUGAAAGAAAAGUUGGUCGCGUAAACUUAGAUUACAAGAACGCGAGCCAUAAGAACUAAAGUUAAGUUUAAACCAAUGCGUAAGUCAAAUAUAUGACUAACUGGUAUGCGCUAUUCCUUAUGUGAUAUAUAGGGAUUGCGGUAAAUAGUUCAGGGUAAACUAUAAACUGUAGUUGUGCUCAAGACAAGUUUCCUAACUUCAUUCAUAUUCUAAAUGAAUGUUAGUUUCUUAAACUUUCUCAGAUGUUGAGCUUGAGAAGUUUUAUUUAUGUGCAAAUGUGUAAUAUUUGUAUAAGGUGGUAGAAUGUAUGAGGCCUUGUGCCACAAUUUUAACAUUUCGGUGUUUCUGUGAGAUGAACUGUUCAGUGAUUGAACUGUUCAAUAUAAAAGAGUUCUAUUUAUUCAUGAAAACAAGUCCGUGCUAAUGAUUCUAGAUAGACAGAAUGUUUAUGGAAAAGAGUAGAAGAAUGAAAGUAUUUCAAAGUGAAUGUGACUAAUGUUUUAAAAUGAUAGGAAUCAGAUUUAUCCCUAUUAUUCGAGCUGUUUCAUAACCUUUGUUCGGUUAUUGAAGGUUUAAAGGAAUGUUUAAAUUCGUAAUGUUGUUUAUUUAACUGCUAUGACUUGCUGAACAAUUGAAUGCCCACCCUUGCUUUAAAUAAAAAUAUUUUCAGCGAACAAUGUUAGAAUGAACUUAAAGAUUCCGUAAAGAUCAAGCUGACCGGCAUCCUGACGAAGUGCCAUUCAUGAUAUGAAUGAGCAUGAAGUUCAAGCCAAGACUUGUAAUGUAGAAUAGUUUAAUUAAACUAUAGAUUAGUUUAAUGAACUAUUAUGUAUCUUUUGUGGCGGAUGAAAGUCAGUCUUGUAUGAUGUAAAGAAUAAUGUAAUUAUCAUUAUUUGUAAUGAAUGAUGUUUUAAGAUAAUAGAACAUGGGAUUUGAAGAGAUAUGUCGUUAUUCUUAAUGAUAUAAUGAUAUCCUGUUUGUAUGUGCGUAUUCGGACACAUACAUAGAUGCACACUCACAGACACAAAAAGAGAGAAUGACUUUCAUGAAAUCUAAAUUUUCAACAAGAAUCUCAUGUAUGAAUUGGGUAUUGAUACAAGCAAAUACCCGAUUACAUGAGAUUCAACAAGGAUCUCAUAUAAUAUGGUAAUUAGCCUUUAAGAAGUUAGAAAUUUGGAAGGAAUGUGUAUAAAACAAAUCCCCCCAGAAACACAAAAUAUAAAUAAAAACUUAAAAAAGAAUUGAUAUGUGGAUAUAAAGAAUAAUCAGCAAUAAACAUAAAGAAUCAAAAAAAAAUUAUAGUAACACAACAAAAACAGAAAGAUAAUGAUAUAAAGAUGGAUUUCAAGGUUGGGUAUGGUAACUGAUUUGUUUAGGUUGACAGAAUUAUAUGAAGAUCUUGUUAAAGAUUUCAAUACCUCUGUGUGUGAGUGCAUGCGCACCCAUAUAUCUUCCCGUACACCCACUUAUAGGCAUGAUGUCUUUGAUGAUAUCGAUGUACGUUCGUACAUAAGGGAAAUGAUAAGAAUCCAUAUUGCUCAUUACUUAACCUUUAACUUAAUCAAUGUUCGAAAUAGCGCUCGAGGCGUGCGCCUCGAGGCGCGCCUCGUAGCGAGGCGGAAGAAGGCUGAGGCGAGGCAUACGCCUAUUCUGGAAUUCCAGCAACUUGCGCCUUUUUCGGUUGAGGCUAACGCCUCGUGGCGGUGCGCCUCAAGGCGUCGCGAGGCCUGCGCCUCGAUUUGGCUUUAAAAAACCCUAAGUAUCUGACUUCACUUACCGAUUUGGCUUCAUUGGGCUUCGACGACUUCUUCAGUUUUCCUCUGCGACUGCUUCAGGGUCGACUUCUUCGACUUCUUCUGCGACUGCUCAGCCUUCUCCAGGUAUCUUCUUUUUCUUCUUCUUUCUUUUCUUCCUCUGUCGACCGACUUGGCGACUUCUUCUUCUCUUCUUCUUCGACGACUUCUUCUCUUCUUCGACUGUCUUCUGUCUUCUUCUUUUCUUCUGUCGUUCUUCCUCUCUGUUUUAAGCUGCUUCUUUUUUUCUGUUUGCUAAGUGACAGUGUAGUCCUCUGUUAAUUUCUGUUGAAAAAUUUUAAUUUCUGUUAAGGUUUUUUUAACUUAUUACCAUAUAUUUGUUAUAUAUUAACUUUUAUAUAUGUUGUGAUUAACAUAUAUUUAACAUAUAUUGUAUUCUUAUAUUUGGUUUUUUUAUUACACACUUACAGUGAAUUAAGAUUAUGGAUAAGAAAGAUCCUGCAUGGAAAUAUGGCAUCGUAGCCCCUGGAG